rnacentral:rRNA from 1 species
UACGAAGGGGGCUAGCGUUGUUCGGAAUUACUGGGCGUAAAGCGCACGUAGGCGGAUUGUUAAGUUAGGGGUGAAAUCCCGAGGCUCAACCUCGGAACUGCCUUUGAUACUGGGGAUCUCGAGUCCGGGAGAGGUGAGUGGAACUGCGAGUGUAGAGGUGAAAUUCGUAGAUAUUCGCAAGAACACCAGUGGCGAAGGCGGCUCACUGGCCCGGAACUGACGCUGAGGUGCGAAAGCGUGGGGAGCAAACAGG